rnacentral:rRNA from 1 species
GACGAACGCUGGCGGCGUGCCUAACACAUGCAAGUCGAGCGAGAAACUUCGGUUUCUAGCGGCGGACGGGUGAGUAACACGUGGGUAACCUGCCUCAAAGAGGGGGAUAGCCUCCCGAAAGGGAGAUUAAUACCGCAUAAUAUCAGGAUCUCGCAUGGGAACUUGAUUAAAGGAGCAAUCCGCUUUGAGAUGGACCCGCGGCGCAUUAGCUAGUUGGUGAGGUAACGGCUCACCAAGGCGACGAUGCGUAGCCGACCUGAGAGGGUGAUCGGCCACAAUGGAACUGAGACACGGUCCAGACUCCUACGGGAGGCAGCAGUGGGGAAUAUUGCACAAUGGGCGAAAGCCUGAUGCAGCAACGCCGCGUGAGUGAUGAAGGCCUUCGGGUUGUAAAACUCUGUCUUCUGGGACGAUAAUGACGGUACCAGAGGAGGAAGCCACGGCUAACUACGUGCCAGCCGCCGCAGUAACAC